UGUUGCUUCUUUGAUUGGUCUGUAAG
rnacentral:piRNA from 1 species